UAUAAACACCAAAAGCAUCUCAAAAAUCAUAACUUUUCCUCCACGGCACCGGGUAUUUCAAGGCGCUUAGAUGAAAAUUUAUGAAUCUUUAAAUUCUUACGGUUUUUCAAGAAACAAGAAAACCAAAAGGAUUAUAGAUGCCCGAAGGGUUUGAUAUCAGGGAACAAAGCUUUCCAGAACUCAACAUCAGUAUUGGGUGGUUCAGCCACUUUAGAAGCCCAAGAAACCAACAUAAUAGCUGAUCCAGCAGCAAGAGACAAAGUAGAAGUCAACCAAGGCUUCAGUAUUCUCCACAACAUCCCCACCAGCUUCAUAUGCCUUACAAGAUUCAAACUUUCUCAAUGGCCCAAAAGAUUGAAGUGAAGAAACAUGCAAAGGUUUUGAAUUUGUAACAAUUGAGAGUUUCUUGAUUUUGGGUGUGGAAAAAAUGAGGGAUUUUGUUGGAGAAUUUGUUCUGUGAUCGGUGAUUUUGGAACUGCAUUUAGGGGUUGUUGAAAUUGCUUGCUUCAAUGAGAUGAUCAUAUUGAAUAUUUGAAUGUGUGAUGAUGAUGAUGAUGAUAUCAAAAUUGGUUUUUGUGAAAGAACAAAUCGAUUUGAUGUAAUUUGAUACUCCUUUGCACUUUGCAGUUCUUUUUCUUGAAGAAUAAUAAUAAUUUUGAAAUUUG
rnacentral:lncRNA from 1 species